GAUAGAAGAAGUGAAAGUGGCAGCAGAAGUAUAGCCUUUGGUGGUAUAUGUAGUUAGAGCAUUAAAUGCAGGUAUCUCGAUAGGUUGAAGAGGAUCUCUUUUAGAACAUACAGAAGUAUGGGUGAAAAUAGACAAGAAAAGUUUAUAUAUGGGUCACCUCGUUCAUUUCCUCUUUCUCAAUAUUUUCAUCAAUUGGGGACUCUACACGCAC
rnacentral:lncRNA from 1 species